rnacentral:misc_RNA from 1 species
CUGACUUGGACGACGCACAAAGCAAGAACAAAACUGGACUGGACGGAGAGCAUCAUCCAUCAUGGGCAGGCACGCCGCCGCCGCCUCCGCAUCUGUUUGUCGGCCACGCUGCACGCCGUCGCCGUGUCGGACGGGACGGGAGCAUCAGGCGGCGCAGAGCAGUUUCCUCUUUCCCCUUCUUCUUCAACUCUCCUCUUCCUCCUCACGCACCUGCUUCAUCAACUACAUACAUAUAUAUACAGGCAGCAUUACCAUGGAUCCUCCAUGGCUGCUCUUGAUUAUGUCCUCAGGACUCAGGUGACGUAUCUGGUAAUACCCUAG